GAGGUGGGAGGAUCGUUUGAGCCCGGGAGGUUGAGACUGCAGUGAACUGUGAUCACACCACUGCACUCCAGCCUGAGUGACAGAGCAGACUUG
rnacentral:miRNA from 1 species